AACGAACGCUGGCGGCAUGCCUAACACAUGCAAGUCGAACGAAGGCUUCGGCCUUAGUGGCGCAAGGGUGCGUAACGCGUGGGAAUCUGCCCUUUGGUUCGGAAUAACAGCUGGAAACGGCUGCUAAUACCGGAUGAUGACGAAAGUCCAAAGAUUUAUCGCCAGAGGAUGAGCCCGCGUUGGAUUAGGUAGUUGGUGGGGUAAAGGCCUACCAAGCCGACGAUCCAUAGCUGGUCUGAGAGGAUGAUCAGCCACACUGGGACUGAGACACGGCCCAGACUCCUACGGGAGGCAGCAGUGGGGAAUAUUGGACAAUGGGCGCAAGCCUGAUCCAGCAAUGCCGCGUGAGUGAUGAAGGCCCUAGGGUUGUAAAGCUCUUUUACCCGGGAAGAUAAUGACUGUACCGGGAGAAUAAGCCCCGGCUAACUCCGUG
rnacentral:rRNA from 1 species